GUCACGUUUAUUAUAGUUGGUCGCCCUGGCAAACAGCCGCUCUCUGAUUGCAGCGCAUGCGCACUAAAUUUUAGCAGGCGA